rnacentral:rRNA from 1 species
CCCUUAGAUGUUCUGGGCCGCACGCGCGCUACACUGAUGAACGCAACGAGACCACCUGUACCGAAAGGCAUGGGUAAACUUGUGAAAGUUCAUCGUGAUGGGGAUAGAUUAUUGCAAUUAUUAAUCUUCAACGAGGAAUUCCUAGUAAGCGCGAGUCAUCAGCUCGCGUUGAUUACGUCCCUGCCCUUUGUACACACCGCCCGUCGUUCCUACCGAUUGAAUGGUCCGGUGAAAUCUUCGGAUUGCUGGAUAGGACUUCAUUGACCUAUCUGCGAGAAGUUGCUUGAACCUUAUCAUUUAGAGGAAGGAGAAGUCGUAACA